rnacentral:rRNA from 1 species
GACGAACCGUGCAAACGUUGUUCGGAAUCACUGGGCUUAAAGGGCGCGUAGGCGGGCAAGCAAGUCGAAGGUGAAAUCCCACGGCUCAACCGUGGAAGUGCCCCCGAUACUGCUUGUCUUGAGGGAGAUAGGGGCGUGCGGAACUUCCGGUGGAGCGGUGAAAUGCGUAGAUAUCAAGAGGAACACCUGAGGUGAAGACGGGUUGCUGGGCUGACACUGACGCUGAGGCGCGAAAGCCAGGGGAGCAAACGGGG